rnacentral:rRNA from 1 species
GAUGAACGCUAGCUACAGGCUUAACACAUGCAAGUCGCGGGGUAACAUCUGGUAGAGCUUGCUCUUCCAGGAUGACGACCGGCGCACGGGUGAGUAACGCGUAUCCAACCUGGCCCAUACCACGGGAUAGCCCGUCGAAAGGCGGAUUAAUACCGUAUGCUGUCAUUAAGAUGCAUAUAUUGAUGACGAAAGGACUGGCGGUAUGGGAUGGGGAUGCGUCUGAUUAGCUUGUUGGCGGGGUAACGGCCCACCAAGGCGACGAUCAGUAGGGGUUCUGAGAGGAAGGUCCCCCACAUUGGAACUGAGACACGGUCCAAACUCCUACGGGAGGCAGCAGUGAGGAAUAUUGGUCCAAUGGGGCGCAAGCCUGAACCAGCCAAGUAGCGUGAGGGAAGACUGCCCUACGGGUUGUAAACCUCUUUGUCGGGGAGUAACGUGCGGGACGGGUCCCGUAUUGAGAGUACCCGAGAAAAAGCAUCGGCUAACUCCGUG